GAUGAACGCUAGCUACAGGCUUAACACAUGCAAGUCGCGGGGCAGCAUGGGGGUUGCUUGCAAUCCCCGAUGGCGACCGGCGCACGGGUGAGUAACGCGUAUCCAACCUGCCCUUCACCACGGGAUAACCCGGCGAAAGUCGGACUAAUACCGUAUGUUGUCCAUUGACGGCAUCCGAUUUGGACGAAAGGUUUGGCGGUGAAGGAUGGGGAUGCGUCCGAUUAGCUGGACGGCGGGGUGACGGCCCACCGUGGCGACGAUCGGUAGGGGUUCUGAGAGGAAGGUCCCCCACACUGGAACUGAGACACGGUCCAGACUCCUACGGGAGGCAGCAGUGAGGAAUAUUGAUCAAUGGGCGUAAGCCUGAACCAGCCAAGUAGCGUGCAGGAUGACGGCCCUAUGGGUUGUAAACUGCUUUUAUGCGGGGAUAAAGUGGCCCACGUGUGGGUUUUUGCAGGUACCGCAUGAAUAAGGACCGGCUAAUUCCAUG
rnacentral:rRNA from 1 species